rnacentral:rRNA from 1 species
UACGAAGGGGGCUAGCGUUGUUCGGAAUUACUGGGCGUAAAGCGCGCGUAGACGGUUUUGUAAGUCAGAUGUGAAAUCCCUGGGCUCAACCUGGGAACUGCAUUUGAGACUGCAUGGCUAGAGUAUGGAAGAGGGAAGUGGAAUUUCCGGUGUAGCGGUGAAAUGCGUAGAUAUCGGAAGGAACACCAGUGGCGAAAGCGACUUCCUGGUCCAAUACUGACGUUCAUGUGCGAAAGCGUGGGGAGCAAACAGG